GAUGAACGCUAGCGGCAGGCCUAUACAUGCAAGUCGAGGGAGAAUGUUGGAUUCGUCUGACAUGAAACCGGCGCACGGGUGCGUAACACGUAUGCAACCUACCUUUAACUGGGGUAUAGCUCAGAGAAAUCUGAAUUAAUCCCCCAUAAGACUACGACAUGGCAUCAUGAUGUAGUUAAAGCUCCGGCGGUUAAGGAUGGGCAUGCGGUACAUUAGCUAGUUGGUGAGGUAAUGGCUCACCAAGGCUACAAUGUAUAGGGGGUCUGAGAGGAUGAUCCCCCACACUGGUACUGAGACACGGACCAGACUCCUACGGGAGGCAGCAGUAGGGAAUAUUGGUCAAUGGACGCAAGUCUGAACCAGCCAUGCCGCGUGAAGGAUGAAGGCCCUAUGGGUCGUAAACUUCUUUUAUUAGGGAAGAAAAAACGGGAUGCGUCCUGUACUGACGGUACUUAAUGAAUAAGGAUCGGCUAACUUCGUGCCAGCAGCCGCAGUAA
rnacentral:rRNA from 1 species